GCAUAUCAAUAAGCGGAGGAAAAGAAACCAACAGGGAUUGCCCUAGUAACGGCGAGUGAAGCGGCAACAGCUCAAAUUUGAAAUCUGGCUCUCGGGCCCGAGUUGUAAUUUGUAGAGGAUACUUUUGAUGCGGUGCCUUCCGAGUUCCCUGGAACGGGACGCCAUAGAGGGUGAGAGCCCCGUCUGGUUGGAUGCCAAAUCUCUGUAAAGUUCCUUCGACGAGUCGAGUAGUUUGGGAAUGCUGCUCUAAAUGGGAGGUAUAUGUCUUCUAAAGCUAAAUACCGGCCAGAGACCGAUAGCGCACAAGUAGAGUGAUCGAAAGAUGAAAAGCACUUUGAAAAGAGAGUUAAAAAGUACGUGAAAUUGUUGAAAGGGAAGCGUUUAUGACCAGACUUGGGCUUGGUUAAUCAUCUGGGGUUCUCCCCAGUGCACUUUUCCAGUCCAGGCCAGCAUCAGUUUUCCCCGGGGGAUAAAGACUUCGGGAAUGUGGCUCUCUUCGGGGAGUGUUAUAGCCCGUUGUGUAAUACCCUGGGGGGGACUGAGGUUCGCGCAUCUGCAAGGAUGCUGGCGUAAUGGUCAUCAACGACCCGUCUUGAAACACGGACCAAGGAGUCGUCUUCGUAUGCGAGUGUUCGGGUGUCAAACCCCUACGCGUAAUGAAAGUGAACGCAGGUGAGAGCUUCGGCGCAUCAUCGACCGAUCCUGAUGUUCUCGGAUGGAUUUGAGUAAGAGCAUACGGGGCCGGACCCGAAAGAAGGUGAACUAUGCCUGUAUAGGGUGAAGCCAGAGGAAACUCUGGUGGAGGCUCGCAGCGGUUCUGACGUGCAAAUCGAUCGUCAAAUAUGGGCAUGGGGGGCGAAAGACUAAUCGAACUUCUAGUAGCUGGUUUCCGCCGAGU
rnacentral:rRNA from 1 species